rnacentral:rRNA from 1 species
UACGUAGGGGGCAAGCGUUGUCCGGAGUUAUUGGGCGUAAAGAGCGUGUAGGCGGCUUUGCAAGUCCGUUGUGAAAACUCGAGGCUCAACCUCGAGACGCCGGUGGAAACUGCAAAGCUAGAGUCCGGAAGAGGAGAGUGGAAUUCCUGGUGUAGCGGUGAAAUGCGCAGAUAUCAGGAGGAACACCCAUGGCGAAGGCAGCUAACUGGGCAUUAUCUGACGCUGAGGCGCGAAAGCGUGGGUAGCAAACAGG